GGAUUAGAUACCCUGGUAGUCCACGCAGUAAACGGUGAUCACUAGGUGUAGCGGGUAUUGACCCCUGCUGUGCCGGAGUUAACGCAUUAAGUGAUCCGCCUGGGGAGUACGAUCGCAAGAUUAAAACUCAAAGGAAUUGACGGGGGCCCGCACAAGCGGUGGAGCAUGUGGUUUAAUUCGACGCAACGCGAAGAACCUUACCUGGAUUUGACAUCCCGGGAAUCAUUAAGAAAUUUUUGAGUGCCCUUCGGGGAGCCUGGAGACAGGUGCUGCAUGGCUGUCGUCAGCUCGUGCUG
rnacentral:rRNA from 1 species